rnacentral:rRNA from 1 species
GAUCGAUGUGGUGCUCCGGAGUUCUCUUCGGGCCAGGGCCUAAGCCGCGCCAGGCGAGGGACGGACAUUCAUGGCGAAUGGCGGCCGUUCUUCUCGUUCUGCCAGCGGGCCCCUCGUCUCUCCACCCCAUCCGUCUGCCGGUGGUGUGUGGAAGGCAGGGGUGCGGCUCUCCGGCCCGAGCGCUGCCCCGCGCGCACUUUUCUCAAGUGGUUCGCGUGGUCCUUGUGGAUGUGUGAGGCGCCCGGUUGUGCCCUCACGUGUUUCACUUUGGUCG